GCCUGGGUGGCUCACUCAAUGGAGCAUGAAAUUGUUGAUUUCAGGGUUGUGGGUUCAAGCCCAACGUUGGGUA
rnacentral:tRNA from 1 species